AGGCGGAAUAUGUAGUGUAGCGGUGAAAUGCAUAGAUAUUACAUAGAACACCAAUUGCGAAGGCAGCUUACUAAGAUAUUAUUGACGCUGAUGGACGAAAGCGUGGGUAGCGAACGGGAUUAGAUACCCCGGUAGUCCACGCCCUAAACGAUGUUUACUCGAUAUUUGGGUCUUGAAUCUGAGUGUCUAAGGGAAACCGAUAAGUAAACCACCUGGGGAGUACGUUCGCAAGAAUGAAACUCAAAGGAAUUGACGGGGGCCCGCACAAGCGGUGGAGCAUGUGGUUUAAUUCGAUGAUACGCGAGGAACCUUACCUGGGCUUAAAUGUAGAUUGACAGGUUUAGAGAUAGACUUUUCUUCGGACAAUUUACAAGGUGCUGCAUGGUUGUCGUCAGCUCGUGCUGUGAAGUGUCGGGUUAAGUCCCAUAACGAGCGCAACCCCUAUUCUUAGUUGCCAGCGAGUCAAGUCGGGGACUCUAAGAAAACUGCCAGCGCAAGCUGAGAGGAAGGUGGGGAUGACGUCAAAUCAUCACGGCCCUUACGUCCUGGGCUACACACGUGCUACAAUGGUGCAUACAGAGGGCAGCUACCUGGUGACAGGAUGCGAAUCUCGAAAGUGCAUCUCAGUUCGGAUUGAAGUCUGCAACUCGACUUCAUGAAGCUGGAAUCGCUAGUAAUCGCGUAUCAGCCAUGACGCGGUGAAUACGUUCCCGGGCCUUGUACACACCGCCCGUCAAGC
rnacentral:rRNA from 1 species